ACAUGCAGUCGAACGAGUUCUGAUUAUUGAAAGGUGCUUGCAUCUUGAUUUAAUUUUGAACGAGUGGCGGACGGGUGAGUAACACGUGGGUAACCUGCCCUUAAGUGGGGGAUAACAUUUGGAAACAGAUGCUAAUACCGCAUAAAUCCAAGAACCGCAUGGUUCUUGGCUGAAAGAUGGCGUAAGCUAUCGCUUUUGGAUGGACCCGCGGCGUAUUAGCUAGUUGGUGAGGUAACGGCUCACCAAGGCAAUGAUACGUAGCCGAACUGAGAGGUUGAUCGGCCACAUUGGGACUGAGACACGGCCCAAACUCCUACGGGAGGCAGCAGUAGGGAAUCUUCCACAGUGGACGCAAGUCUGAUGGAGCAACGCCGCGUGAGUGAAGAAGGCUUUCGGGUCGUAAAACUCUGUUGUUGGAGAAGAAUGGUCGGCAGAGUAACUGUUGUCGGCGUGACGGUAUCCAACCAGAAAGCCACGGCUAACUACGUGCCAGCAGCCGCGGUAAUACGUAGGUGGCAAGCGUUAUCCGGAUUUAUUGGGCGUAAAGCGAGCGCAGGCGGUUUUUUAAGCCUGAUGUGAAAGCCCUCGGCUUAACCGAGGAAGUGCAUCGGAAACUGGGAAACUUGAGUGCAGAAGAGGACAGUGGAACUCCAUGUGUAGCGGUGAAAUGCGUAGAUAUAUGGAAGAACACCAGUGGCGAAGGCGGCUGUCUGGUCUGUAACUGACGCUGAGGCUCGAAAGCAUGGGCAGCGAACAGGAUUAGAUACCCUGGUAGUCCAUGCCGUAAACGAUGAAUGCUAGGUGUUGGAGGGUUUCCGCCCUUCAGUGCCGCAGCUAACGCAUUAAGCAUUCCGCCUGGGGAGUACGACCGCAAGGUUGAAACUCAAAGGAAUUUGACGGGGGCCCGCA
rnacentral:rRNA from 1 species